rnacentral:ncRNA from 2 species
GGGGGCGGCCGCGACCGGCGAAGGUGGAGCACCACCGGGGAGCGACCGCGCGCACGUCCACGGAGCGUCGACCGCCUGGGUGCCCCGG